UUCACGGAGCUCCUGAGAGACGCAAUCUGAAGUGCGUCUCCCAUUUCGGUCGCUAGAGGGCAGCGCUUUCCUGCGUUGGUGGAGCACACCAAGGACUAGGGCUGCAUCUGUUUGCUGCAAGACUCAUUAGGCUGGCUGUGGACAUUUCACAGAGUGCCCCAGGGAAUGCACCGGUGUACCUGUUUUUCUCCUGACUGGGGAAGCCUUGGACCUGGACCAAGAAAGCAGAGCGCUUGUGUUAGCCAGUGGAUGAAGACUCAAGCUGGCUGAACAGCCUUUUUCCUGCUUGCUACAACAAGUUUUACAGGGAAAUGGCAGCUCCAUUCUUUCUCCUGUCUGCAUGUGAUUUCCAACAGGCUCAUUUCACCCACAUUCUGCCAGGGCCACCAGCUGUGCUUCAAAGUGGAUACUGACCAAGACAAUAUGCAAGUGUUUGCUUCAAGGUCACCCGGAGAGAAAGACACAAGGAUCUUUCUUUAUUUCUUUGUUUCUUUCAACUUUUUAUUGAUUCUUUGUGAAUUUCACAUUAUGC